rnacentral:lncRNA from 1 species
ACAAACACAAAAGACACGCUGAGGGGCCGCCGGCUCCCGCCGAGACUGCCGCCCGCACCCGGCCAGCCCCCGCCCCCGGCCCUGCACUCCCAUCCCGCUCCGUGUGCGCACGGCGUCGAACCCCCGAAGCCCGGGUUUGGGGCGCCCGGAGGGAAGUGGGGGGAGGGGAAGGCGGGCGGAGGCGCGGCGGGUGAACGCCCGGCCUGCGGGCGUCUCGGGCCGCGGCGGGGAGGGGAGGGAGGGGCUGCCCCCGCGCGGGCCCCGGCGCGCGCCCCCGAGGAGACCCGGGCGGCAGUGGGGGAGGAGGACGCGGUCGGCCGGGUCGCCGCGCCCCAUUGGAAAACGCUCCCCAGCAGGAAGCUGGCAAAUAGGAAUCCAGCGUCCCGCGCCCGCUGUCGGACCUGGCCGCUGCGGCAGCGGGAGGGGCGGACCGACGGCCUCCUUCCCGCCUGCGCGCUCGGCCAAGUGCGGCCGGGUCCUGCGGGACCGGCCCGAGUCCGCCGUAGACAACUUGAUCCGCUAAGACUCCUGGGCCGGCCGCCUGCGUGCAGGGCAGCCCCUCGCCGGUGUUGGCCUCCGGGAUCAGGGGACGGGGCUCGCUCUCCUCCCGGGCCCGGGCCCCCGACGCAAGAUGGCUGUGUCGCGUCGGCCUCUAAACAAUGUGUGGAGCGCGCAGCUCCUGCACCAGGGCCUGGUGGCUUGUCCUGCCCGCCCGUGGGGGCCGUGUGAUCUGUUUUCGGAAACCGAAAUAUUUAUUGUUGGAUUUAUCCAGGAAGGCUGUUCUGCAUUAGUUAAAUGCAUCAUAUCUUCAAGAAAUGUUAAAUGACAUGGGUAAUGUUUUCUUUGUA